UGGGGAAUCUUGGACAAUGGGGGCAACCCUGAUCCAGCCAUGCCGCGUGAGUGAUGAAGGCCUUAGGGUCGUAAAGCUCUUUCGCCUGUGAAGAUAAUGACGGUAGCAGGUAAAGAAACCCCGGCUAACUCCGUGCCAGCAGCCGCGGUAAUACGGAGGGGGUUAGCGUUGUUCGGAAUUACUGGGCGUAAAGCGCACGUAGGCGGACCAGAAAGUUGGGGGUGAAAUCCCGGGGGCUCAACCCCGGAACUGCCUCCAAAACUAUUGGUCUAGAGUUCGAGAGAGGUGAGUGGAAUUCCAAGUGUAGAGGUGAAAUUCGUAGAUAUUUGGAGGAACACCAGUGGCGAAGGCGGCUCACUGGCUCGAUACUGACGCUGAGGUGCGAAAGUGUGGGGAGCAAACAGGAUUAGAUACCCUGGUAGUCCACACCGUAAAACGAUGAAUGCCAGUCGUCGGGUAGCAUGCUAUUCGGUGACACACCUAACGGAUUAAGCAUUCCGCCUGGGGAGUACGGUCGC
rnacentral:rRNA from 1 species